AACGAACGCUGGCGGCAUGCCUAACACAUGCAAGUCGAACGAGACCUUCGGGUCUAGUGGCGCACGGGUGCGUAACGCGUGGGAAUCUGCCCUUGGGUUCGGAAUAACAGUUGGAAACGACUGCUAAUACCGGAUGAUGACGUAAGUCCAAAGAUUUAUCGCCCAAGGAUGAGCCCGCGUAGGAUUAGCUAGUUGGUGAGGUAAAGGCUCACCAAGGCGACGAUCCUUAGCUGGUCUGAGAGGAUGAUCAGCCACACUGGGACUGAGACACGGCCCAGACUCCUACGGGAGGCAGCAGUGGGGAAUAGUGGACAAUGGGCGAAAGCCUGAUCCAGCAAUGCCGCGUGAGUGAUGAAGGCCUUAGGGUUGUAAAGCUCUUUUAACCGGGAUGAUAAUGACAGUACCGGGAGAAUAAGCUCCGGCUAACUCCGUG
rnacentral:rRNA from 1 species